GCCCUUCCUCUCGUGUCGCAUCAUGAUUGCCGUCUGAACGCUGCGUUCCGGUGGAAUUAAAGUCUGGAAGCAUGCCUCGCUACGAGCUGUCCCUGAUCUUGAAGGUGAUGCAGCGACCGGAGACAGCGGCCGCUCUCCGGCGGACGGUGGAGGCGUUGAUGGAGCGAGGCGCGGUGGUGAGGGACUUGGAGAGUCUGGGAGAAAGGACGCUGCCCUACAAGAUCGUCAAACACUCUCAGAAGCACGACAGAGGCUCUUACUUUUUGCUGGACUUCUACGCGGCCCCCACCAUCCUCAUAGGCUUGGUGAAUCACCUGCAGCGUGAUGUGGACGUGGUGAGGCCCACCGUGCUGAAGAAGGAUGUUCCGGUGCGCACGAAGCCCUGCUGCGGGCUCCAGGUGUGACCACGUGACAGCAGCUGCAUCAGAGUUUGUCUACCACAGAGACUGUUCAGGUAGCUGACAGGGAUUUACAACCCCUCUCCAGAAGAUGUACAGCAUAUUCCUUUUCUGUAUGUUUGUUUCAGUUUGUGUGUUUUAAUAAACUUUUUCCAA